rnacentral:tRNA from 1 species
CGGAUGUAGCUCAGUUGGUAGAGCGCCGGUUUGUGGUUCCGGUUGUCGCGGGUUCGAUCCCCGUCAUUC